rnacentral:rRNA from 1 species
GACGAACGCUGGCGGCAUGCCUAAUACAUGCAAGUCGAACGAUGACGUUUCCAGUUUACUGGAAACUGAUUAGUGGCGAACGGGUGAGUAACACGUGGGAAAUCUACCUUAGAGUGGGGGAUAACAUUCGGAAACGGAUGCUAAUACCGCAUAUCUUCUUGAACCUCCUGGUUCUUGAAUGAAAGACGGCUUCGGCUGUCGCUCCUAGAUGAUCCCGCGGCGUAUUAGUUAGUUGGUGAGGUAAUGGCUCACCAAGGCGACGAUACGUAGCCGACCUGAGAGGGUGAUCGGCCACACUGGGACUGAGACACGGCCCAGACUCCUACGGGAGGCAGCAGUAGGGAAUCUUCCACAAUGGGUGCAAACCUGAUGGAGCAAUGCCGCGUGAAUGAAGAAGGUCUUCGGAUCGUAAAGUUCUGUUAUUUGAGAAGAAAAAAUCAAGGAGUAACUGUCUUGAUUUUGACGGUA